GACGAACCGUGCGAACGUUGUUCGGAAUCACUGGGCUUAAAGGGCGCGUAGGCGGCCGACCAAGUCAGGGGUGAAAUCCUGCAGCUCAACUGUAGAAGUGCCUUUGAUACUGGCCGGCUCGAGUGAGGUAGGGGUGGGUGGAACUUCUGGUGGAGCGGUGAAAUGCGUUGAUAUCAGAAGGAACGCCGGUGGCGAAAGCGACCCACUGGACCUCUUCUGACGCUGAGGCGCGAAAGCUAGGGGAGCAAACGGGAUUAGAAACCCCCGUAGUCC
rnacentral:rRNA from 1 species